GUUCCAAAGCCCCUGCGCAGCCCAUUGGCCGAGCCGAGGCGGUAUGCAAAUGAGGCCGCCGGGGCCGCCCACGCCUCAUUGUUGCGUGGAGACCCGGGGGCCGAGCCACCGGGAAGCGGGGCCCGGGGCUGGGGGGCUGGGCGUGCGGAGCUCCCGGGUGCGUGGGGGGCAGGCCCACGCGGGUCCUCUUGCGGGGUGGAGGCUGUACCGCGGCCACGGGUGCGGGGAGAGGGUUCACCUCUCCGCGCUUUUGGGACUUGGUGCGAAGCCUGCUUUUGCUCGCGGGCAACAUCGCCUCCCUCAGGCGCAAUUUGGGUAGGGACGCUCCCAGGUCAGCUUAGGGGGACAGAAAUGCGACCAGACGGCGGACCUGCGGCAGGAGGGCGGCGGGGCUGUUUCUUAUUAACCCGCGCGGUGCCCUGGGUGCAGUCCGCCCACAUGACUCUGGCCAACAGGGGGGGCAACACUUGGGUAAUUUGCUAAUGUGGUGCUCGCCUCUACGGAGCGCCAAGCCCACUGUCAACUGCAGAAGAGCGCCUGUCUCCAGGGAGCUGUGAACAGCGCGCUCCGUACCCUCCCUCGCUCCACCUAAGAAAAAGGAGUUCCUCUUCUCUGAACCCUCAACAGGCCCCACCUGGGAUGACCAAGAGCCAUGGUGUGCCCAGGACCCUCCUGGUUUACACCUGCUGUGCCCUGGCGUUCGCUGUGGGCGUCCUGCGCUUCUCCAGAAAAAGUCCUUUGCCAUUA